AAUACUGCACAAUGGGCGAAAGCCUGAUGCAGCAACGCCGCGUGAGCGAUGAAGGCCUUUGGGUCGUUAAGCUCUUUCCUUGGGGAAGAAUAAACGACGGUACCCUUGGAGGAAGCCCCGGCUACCUACGGCCCAGCAGCCGCGGUAAUACGUAGGGGGCAAGCGUUAUCCGGAAUUACUGGGCGUAAAGAGUGCGUAGGUGGUUUUGUAAGCGCGGUGUGAAAGGCAAUGGCUCAACCAUUGUAAGCCUUGCGAACUGCAAGACUUGAGUGCAGGAGAGGAAAGUGGAAUUCCUAGUGUAGCGGUGAAAUGCGUAGAUAUUAGGAGGAACACCAGUGGCGAAGGCGACUUUCUGGACUGUAACUGACACUGAGGCACGAAAGCGUGGGGAGCAAACAGG
rnacentral:rRNA from 1 species